rnacentral:rRNA from 1 species
UACGUAGGGGGCUAGCGUUGUCCGGAAUCAUUGGGCGUAAAGCGCGCGUAGGCGGCCCGGUAAGUCCGUUGUGAAAGUCAAAGGCUCAACCUUUGAAAGCCGAUGGAUACUGCCGGGCUGGAGUCCGGAAGAGGCGAGUGGAAUUCCUGGUGUAGCGGUGGAAUACGCAGAUAUCAGGAGGAACACCAAUAGCGAAGGCAGCUCGCUGGGACGGUACUGACGCUGAGGCGCGAAAGCGUGGGGAGCGAACAGG